UCUGCGCCGACAAUGUAGUGGGGCUCAAGUACACCGCCGAAGCCGCGGCAAUCACCAUUUUGUGGUGGUUGGGUAGGGGAGCGUCGCGUGACUGCUGUGAAGCGCUGGGGUAACCCUAGUGUGGAGUGUGCGCGAGUGAGAAUGCAGGCAUGAGUAGCGAAUGAGGAGUGGAAAACUCCUCCGCCGAAUGACUAAGGGUUCCUGGGCCAGGUUAAUCCUCCCAGGGUGAGUCGGGACCUAAGGCGAGGCCGACAGGCGUAGUCGAUGGAUAACGGGUUGAUAUUCCCGUACCCGUGUGUCCGCGCCCAUGGUGAAUCAGGGAUACUAACCCACCUGAACACGCGCCUUGUGCCAGCCUUUUAGGUUGGUUGGUGUGUGUGAUGCUGGGGACCUGAACUGGUAGUAGCCAAGUGAUGGGGUGACGCAGGAAGGUAGCCGUGCCACGUGAUGGAUAUCGUGGUGUAAGCGUGUGGCCCGUGUUCUAGGUAAAUCCGGAGCACAUUCAAGGGUGAGGCGUGAUGCGUACCCGUUUUUGGGGAAGUUGGUGAUCCUAUGCUGCCGAGAAAAGCCUCUAGCGAUGUGGAUAUACGGCCCGUACCCGAAACCGACACAGGUAGUCAGGUAGAGAAUACUAAGGCGAUCGGGAUAACUGUGGUUAAGGAACUCGGCAAAAUGCCCCCGUAACUUCGGGAGAAGGGGGGCCAUGACUGGUGACCGACGUGGUUGAGCUGGUUGUGGCCGCAGAGAAUAGAGGGAAGCGACUGUUUACUAAAAACACAGGUCCGUGCGAAGACAUUUAAGUCGAGGUAUACGGACUGACGCCUGCCCGGUGCUGGAAGGUUAAGAGGACCUGUUAGGCCGCCUUUGGUGGUCGAAGCGGAGAAUUUAAGCCCCAGUAAACGGCGGUGGUAACUAUAACCAUCCUAAGGUAGCGAAAUUCCUUGUCGGGUAAGUUCCGACCUGCACGAAUGGCGUAACGACUUCUCUGCUGUCUCAACCACAGGCCCGGUGAAAUUGCACUACGAGUAAAGAUGCUCGUUACGCGCGGCAGGACGAAAAGACCCCGGGACCUUCACUAUAGCUUGGUAUUGGUGUUCGGUUCGGUUUGUGUAGGAUAGGUGGGAGACUGUGAUGCCUCAACGCCAGUUGGGGUGGAGUCGUUGUUGAAAUACCACUCUGAUCGUAUUGGACAUCUCAACCUCGGCCCGUGAUCCGGGUUAGGGACAGUGCCUGGUGGGUAGUUUAACUGGGGCGGUUGCCUCCCAAAGAGUAACGGAGGCGCCCAAAGGUUCCCUCAGCCUGGUUGGCAAUCAGGUGUUGAGUGUAAGUGCACAAGGGAGCUUGACUGUGAGACUGACAGGUCGAGCAGGUAGGAAACUAGGGACUAGUGAUCCGGCACCGGCUUGUGGAAGCGGUGUCGCUCAACGGAUAAAAGGUACCCCGGGGAUAACAGGCUGAUCUUCCCCAAGAGUCCAUAUCGACGGGAUGGUUUGGCACCUCGAUGUCGGCUCGUCGCAUCCUGGGGCUGGAGUAGGUCCCAAGGGUUGGGCUGUUCGCCCAUUAAAGCGGCACGCGAGCUGGGUUUAGAACGUCGUGAGACAGUUCGGUCUCUAUCCGCCGCGCGCGUUGAAACUUGAAGAAGGCUGUCCCUAGUACGAGAGGACCGGGACGGACGUACCUCUAGUGUGCCAGUUGUUCCGCCAGGAGCAUCGCUGGUUGGCUACGUACGGAAGGGAUAACCGCUGAAAGCAUCUAAGCGGGAAGCCUGUUCCAAGAUUAGGUUUCUUUUGAGGUCCCCUAUAGAUGAUGGGGUUGAUAGGCCGGAUCUGGAAGCAUCGUAAGGUGUGGAGGUGACCGGUACUAAUAGACCAAACAUUCAACACA
rnacentral:rRNA from 1 species